UCCCUCUUAGUAUCAUACCUGGAGAGUUUCCAGUACUCUAUCAGUCUCAGAUAUGGGAGGGAGAGUCAAGCAGAGGCAUACCCAUUCCAUUCUUAGCUUGGGCAUUGGUUGGAGAGUGGAAAGUAAUCUGCCACAAGU